AUAUCAAUAAGCGGAGGAAAAGAAACUAACAAGGAUUCCCCUAGUAACUGCGAGUGAAGCGGGAAAAGCUCAAAUUUGAAAUCUGGCAGCUCCGCUGUCCGAGUUGUAUUCUGGAGAAGCGUUUUCCGCGCCGGACCGUGUACAAGUGCCUUGGAACAGGACGUCAUAGAGGGUGAGAAUCCCGUCUUUGACACGGACCCCCGGUGCUCUGUGAUGCGCUCUCGAAGAGUCGAGUUGUUUGGGAAUGCAGCUCAAAACGGGUGGUAAAUUCCAUCUAAAGCUAAAUAUUGGCGAGAGACCGAUAGCGAACAAGUACCGUGAGGGAAAGAUGAAAAGCACUUUGGAAAGAGAGUAAAACAGUACGUGAAAUUGUUGAAAGGGAAACGCUUGAAGUCAGUCGCGUCUGCCGGAACUCAGCCUUGCUUCUGCUUGGUGCACUUUCCGGCCGGACGGGCCAGCAUCGGUUUCGAGUGACGGACACUGGCGGGGGGAAGGUGGCAGCUCCGGCUGUGUUAUAGCCCCUUGUCGCAAACGUUGCCCGGGACCGAGGAAUCCGGCGCAAGCCUGGGAUGCUGGCGUAAUGGCUUUAAGCGA
rnacentral:rRNA from 1 species